UGUCCCAUCACUGGUGAUAUUACUUUGAUUACUUGGUUAAGGUGGGAUUUGUCCAGUUUCUCUGCAUUAAACUUACUACUUUUCCUUUUUCUAGUUGUCUGGUAAAGGAAAUUGACACUUAAACUGGUCAUUUCGACACAGCAUGGUAGGUAUGACAGACAGCCAGGGUACCAUGGGAGCCAUGGAAUCCCCUGACGUGAUGACACCUCAGCGGUGACUUAGGGAAUGAUUGUUGAAUCAGCCAGCCACAGGAAUCUGGGGAGGAUAUUCUAGAAGGCUACAAUACCAUGAACACAGCCAUAGAGCCAUGAAAUAGCAUGGUUUGUUUAGGAAACUGCAGUGGUUGGCAUCUUGAGUUCUGAGAUUGAGUUCUCCAAUCAUGGAAUCCUCAGAUGGAAAUCUGAGUGCGUGAGGUCUCAUGGGAAGCUGGAAGUGAAGCAUAAAAAUUAUUGAAAAUAAAAAUGGGAAAAAUGAUGCAAAUAAAACAAAAAUCAACCUGAAUCUGGCUUUGCAAUAUAUAGCCGAGAAGCCUGCUACUCUUUGGCUUGAGUAAGAAGUUAAAAUUGUGGAGUGGUGAAUGGGUGUAGCCUCUCUAUGCUCUUUGACACUCAGCCAAUUUGAAAUUUUUAUUUUUGUGGCAAAUGUUGCUAACUUACCCAAGUAUGAGGUAGCAAAUACAUUUGGACUGCCCAGGACUUUUCCAGGCUCCUGUCAAGAAACUGCUAUAAUUCUCCAAGAGUCUCCAAAUUAAAUUCGUGUCAAGACAUCUCCUUUGUUCUAGAAGUGAGGUCAUCUUUGGAAAGUGGACAUUAGCGAUGCUGUGAGUGAGAAAAGGAUUAUGAACCUCUGUCUGAGCUUUAAUGAUGUCUAGGCAAAAAUACAUGUUCAGAAGAAUUCCUUGAGGUUUUCAAGACCCUAUAAAUUUCUAAGAGAAAUUA